GGGAAGUCCUCGUGUUGCACCCC
rnacentral:rRNA from 1 species